AUCUAAAUAGCUUAAAAUUUUAAAGCAUAAUAUUGAAGAUAUUAAUAUAAGUGAAUACUUUUUAGAUA
rnacentral:tRNA from 1 species